rnacentral:lncRNA from 1 species
GGGAGGUCAAAUGCUCCAGGUGUUCUGAGUUCUGCCUGAUGUGAGCACCAGCAAUGUGGAUGUUCUGUUGGCCCAAUGGCCUGGUAACUAUUGUGCAAGAAAAGUGCUGCCAAAAGUAUUUAUUCUGUUCUUAAACACAGAGGAUUGAUGCUGCCAAGGCCCUGGGUAGAGGGGAUAGAAGGUAUGCACUUGAUUCUGAGGUUGAAAGCCACUAAAACAAUUCUGGGGGGAUCUGAAAGCCAUACUUAACAGACUUCAGACUGGGCUGCCUAUGCUGAGAAGACUCAAUUCAUGUAUCAGACGGCAAUACAAUUACCUUAUCUGUCAGCAAGAAAUCAGUCUAAAAUUGCCAAACCAUCACCUCAAUUAAAACU